rnacentral:rRNA from 1 species
AACGAACGCUGGCGGCAUGCCUAACACAUGCCAGUCGAACGAGACCUUCGGGUCUUGUGGCGCACGGGUGCGUAACGCGUGGGAACCUGCCCUUAGGUUCGGAAUAACUCCCCGAAAGGGGUGCUAAUACCGGAUAAUGUCUUCGGACCAAAGAUUUAUCGCCUUUGGUUGGGCCCGCGUUGGAUUAGCUUGUUGGUAGGGUAAAAGCCUACCAAGGCGACGAUCCAUAGCUGGUUUGAGAGGAUGAUCAUCCACACUGGGACUGAGACACGGCCCAGAAUACUACGGGAGGGAGCAGUGGGGAAUAUUGGACAAUGGGCGAAAGGCUGAUACAGCAAUGCCGCGUGAGUGAUGAAGGCCUUAGGGUAGUAAAGCUCUUUUAACCGGGAUGAUAAUGACAGUACCGGGAGAAUAAGCACCGGCUAACUCCGUG